CCUCCGGGCUUCUGCCGUUUUUACUAUUUCCCCCUUUUUUAAACCCUUAUUCAUCUACUCCUCUUUAGUGAAGAAGUAAUUCGUUAUGUAAAGCUCUAUCAGCAGGGAAGAAAAUGACGGUACCUGAGUAAGAAGCCCCGGCUAACUACGUGCCAGCAGCCGCGGUAAUACGUAGGGGGCAAGCGUUAUCCGGAUUUACUGGGUGUAAAGGGAGCGUAGACGGCAGUGCAAGUCUGGAGUGAAAGGCGGGGGCUCAACCCCCGGACUGCUCUGGAAACUGUACGGCUGGAGUGCAGGAGAGGUAAGUGGAAUUCCUAGUGUAGCGGUGAAAUGCGUAGAUAUUAGGAGGAACACCAGUGGCGAAGGCGGCUUACUGGACUGUAACUGACGUUGAGGCUCGAAAGCGUGGGGAGCAAACAGGAUUAGAUACCCGUGUAGUC
rnacentral:rRNA from 1 species